CGGUGCCAAAACUAAUCAUGCUAGUGGAAGAGGUACAGAAGCAGAACAAGCAAAGCAUGGAGAGCAAGUAAAAAGGAAGGAGCCUGGAAUGACAAGCAGGAAAGAUGCAUCUUCAUAUACAGUGAAAAUUGCAUCAGUGCCAUUACCUUUGGAUAGAAAAGCCUAAAAAGUGAAAUCAUUGGUAGCCAAAGGCAACAUCAUCAGCUGUUCUCAUUACUUACAGAAUACACAAGGCUUGCAUGUGGAGAAAUUACAGAGGUGCAAACGGCUGACUAAUGAAAGUGCAAAGAGACGUGCACGUGAAGCAUUUGCCUCAGGAUGAGGAAGUAUGGCAUUAUCUGAAUCACUCUGCACGUAGAAAUCAUUCCUCCCUGCUAUUUGGUGUCCUUCAAGAGAUGAAUCCCACCCACAAGGCAUUUAAUGGACUCUUGCAAGGGGCUUCAUUAACUGAAGCUUCAAGGCAUCCAAAAUACUUUGUGCAGGCCCAGGGCUGCUCAGGGAUCUCUGGAACUGCAUGUUUGCAUGGGGCUGCUCCAGACUGUCUGGAUUCCACACACCCCUGCAAUAUAAACAGGAUAAUGGGUUACUAAUUGUCACUGAGGCCACCAGUCAUAUUGAUCUGGAAUUCACCUAAUAUUGAAGGAAAGCACAAGAAAACAUUGGAAUGUCUUCUUACAAACAAGCAUUAAAUGGGUUAAACCUAUUUUAGCCUCAUUAACCUAUCCAGUGCAAAUGUGAGGUCCCACAGAAUCCCUUCCAAAUCAGCAGUGAUGCUCUUUAAGAGAAGCAGAGCUCAGUUCUUGGUGAGGCAGUGACCUCCACAACUUAUCAGACACCUGAUAUGCAGCCCUGUUCUAAAAGAUUUGCAGCCCUGUUCUAAAACCCAACUUCUGUUGAUGCUUGUGUAAUUUUGGCCAGAGCAAAGAUCACAGUGUUUGUCCUGCAACUUGCACAGCUAGCUUGAAGCUUUUCUUCUUCCUGCCGUCCAAAGCUUCUUAGGAUUAGACAGGACUGAUAUUGAUGUAUGAACAUCUUAAAAGGACUGUACAUAGCUUCCAGGCUGAAGACUAAACAUUGCUGCGUAAAACAGAUUUUGGCAGUGAUUCUAUAGGAUGAACCUAAUCAGAGCAGACAGAUUACAAUGCAUGGUAAACGCAUGGAGUUGAAAAGAAAAAAGGACUUGCUCUGCAGUAUUGCAUAAUACAUUCUGGAGAAACUAGAAAACCUUUCAGAGCAGCUGGGACAGAGGGAAAUGAACCAUUUGUUCCCAAGUGAAAUAAACAAAAGAAGGAAAUGCUCCAAACUGUCUCCAAACUAGGAAAGGAAUGGUGGUGAGAAAAGUGACCAGAGCCUGAACAAAGCUUUUCACAUUGUCCAGUUCCUGACAGUAGCUCUGUUUCAAGUGCACAGGCCCAUAUCUCCUCAUCUCCUGGUCAGUCCUGGUGAGCCACAGACCUCUGCAAGGGAAUGCAGCCUUUGGCAGACAUUGCUGGAUGCCUGCAGUGUAGCACCAGCCAACACAGCUGCUCUGGUUUUGAGUCCUGGUAUGUCAUCUGAUGAAGGAAAAAAUCAAAGCAAUCCCUUCUUACUCCAAAUCACCUGCACGGCUCUGGAUGUGACCAAGAAAACAUUCCAGACACCUGAGUUUGGCUGAGGAACAUAAUUUUCAGUACAAAGACCCACACAGCAAAGUUCAGACAGAGUGGAAAGACCUGCAAAUCAGAAGAAGGAGAGAAGUCUCUAUGGUGUUGACUGUGAAACAUUAAACACAGUCAGUCAUAUCUUCCUUGCUUAUGUUUUUUUGUCACUAAAAUGUGACUGUUGGGUUUUUUUUUUCUUUUGUAGAUGACAACCAACACCAUCAAGAAAGAGUGCACAAAACUGACUCCUGGUACCUGCUUGACAAGAGAGUGAGCUCUUCACAUCAUCCCUCUCCUUUUAAGACUUAAAGUUAGGGACCAUUCUGACAUUUUGAUUCAUGUAAGGAAACUGCUAACUUGAACUCGAGAACCUGAAAGAAAGCCAAGCAACCAUCUUGUCCAGGCUUGUUGCCUUUAUAGAGCAUCUCUCAAGAUUUUAUAUCAGAUUUAUGCCAGUACUCCUUUCCCUUUUAAAAGGGAAAAGAACCCAAACAAGGUUCUUGUUUCAGCAAUAGCACUGUGAGUCAGUCUGAAACUCUAAUCAUGUUGCCUUUCUGGGGAAAUCUUACUGAAAACUUAGGAGAUAAAUUGUUCAUUCUUUUAUACAGCCUUGUAUUUAGUGAAUUGAGCCAGUGAAUUGAGACAGAUGGACAAUUGUGGCAAUUCACCCAUGCAUCCUGACUCUCAUUUAUUCAGUUCCCUUCUCGGUGCAGACUGGAAAAGCUUAGCUCCCAAGGUGAGCAGCUGAACCAGUGGGCAUGAUCUGAGGGACACAUCUGGAGCACUUGAGAGUGCAGUAACACCACCUAAUCUCUCUUGAAAAUACACUCAACUCAGUCAGAGCUUUCUCUUGCACACUUCUGGUCGGCAGGCUGCUCCAGAACCUCUUUUAAGUACUUAAGCAUCUUCACCUGUUUUCCAGAGGAAAAACAAAAUCUCUACAGUGAGCAUGUAGCAAUUUCUUCCUGUCUUAGUUAUGUCCUUUAUUAAAAAUUUGCCUCCCUCAACUAUCCCCCCCACCCUGCUAUACUUAAAUUCAACAGUCAUGUUCCCUCUUUUGUGUCAUCCCCAUAGGAUGAGCAGAUUUAUGUUCUUGAAUUUCUGGAUUUAAAAUAAACUGCAUGCCCAGAGCUAUAGA